UACGUAGGGGGCAAGCGUUAUCCGGAUUUACUGGGUGUAAAGGGAGCGCAGGCGGCAGGGCAAGCCAGAUGUGAAAAUACGGGGCCCAACCCCGUAAGUGCAUUUGGAACUGUCCGGCUGGAGUGUUGGAGAGGUAAGCGGAAUUCCUAGUGUAGCGGUGAAAUGCGUAGAUAUUAGGAGGAACACCAGUGGCGAAGGCGGCUUACUGGACAAUAACUGACGCUGAGGCUCGAAAGCGUGGGGAGCAAACAGG
rnacentral:rRNA from 1 species